UGGUAAGGGGCGGAGGCGAGGCCCCUUCUGGGCCUAGCGGCGGACGGGUGAGUAACACCUGUGUAACCUGCCUGUUGACCGGGAUAACUUCGGGAAACCGAAGCUAAUACCGGAUAAUUUCAAGCAUCGCAUGAUGCUUGAUGGAAAGACGGUUUCGGCUGUCACUCACAGAUGGACCCGCGUCGCAUUAGCUAGUUGGUGAGGUAACGGCUCACCAAGGCGACGAUGCGUAGCCGACCUGAAAGGGUGAUCGGCCACACUGGGACUGAAACACGGCCCAGACUCCUACGGGAGGCAGCAGUAGGGAAUCUUCGGCAAUGGGCGAAAGCCUGACCGAGCAACGCCGCGUGAGCGAUGAAGGCCUUCGGGUCGUAAAGCUCUGUUGUUAAGGAAGAACAAGUACGAGAGUAACUGCUCGUACCUUGACGGUACUUAACGAGAAAGCCACGGCUAACUACGUGCCAGCAGCCGCGGUAAUAA
rnacentral:rRNA from 1 species